GACGAACGCUGGCGGCGUGCUUAACACAUGCAAGUCGAACGGAAAGGCCUCUUUCGGGGGGUACUCGAGUGGCGAACGGGUGAGUAACACGUGAGUAACCUGCCCUUUACUUUGGGAUAACUUCAGGAAACUGGGGCUAAUACCGGAUAGGAGCUCCUGCUGCAUGGUGGGGGUUGGAAAGUUUCGGCGGUUGGGGAUGGACUCGCGGCUUAUCAGCUUGUUUGUGGGGUAGUGGCUUACCAAGGCUUUGACGGGUAGCCGGCCUGAGAGGGUGACCGGCCACAUUGGGACUGAGAUACGGCCCAGACUCCGACGGGAGGAAGCAGUGGGGAAUAUUGCACAAUGGGUGGAAGCCGGAUGCAGCAACGCCGUGGGCGGGAGGACGGCCUUCGGGUUGUAAACCGCUUUCGCUCAUGACGAAGCUUUGUGUGACGGUAGUGGGUAAAGAAGCACCGGCUAACUACGUG
rnacentral:rRNA from 1 species